AAGUCGUAACAAGGUCUCCGUAGGUGAACCUGCGGAGGGAUCAUUACAGAGUGAAGGGGCUUCUGGCCCGACCUCCAACCCAUUGUGAUAUAUACCUCUGUUGCCUCGGGGGGCGACCCGGCCCUGGUGCCGGAGCCCCCGAUGGACCACAUUUAAACACUUGCAUCUAUGCGUCGGAUUAUAAAGUUUAAAUUAUUAAAA
rnacentral:misc_RNA from 1 species